AAACGUCAUAGUAUAGCAUGUCACUCUCAAAAUGUCAUAGUAUAGCAUGUGGCUCAAAAAACGUCAUAGUUUAGCAUGUUAUCCAAAAAACAUCAUAGUAUAGCAUGUCGUCCAAAAAACAUCAUAGUGUAGCAUGUCGUCCAAAAAACAUCAUAGUAUAGCAUGUCUCUUUAAAAUUGUCAUAGUAUAGCAUGUCGUCCAAAAAUGGUCAUAGUAUACCAUGUCGCUCAAAAAACGUCAUAGUAUAGCCUUUGGUCCAACAAACAUCAUAGUUUAGCAUGUUGCUCUAAAAACGUCAUAAUAUAGCAUGUCGCUCAACAAACGUCAUUGUAUAGCAUGUCGUCCAAAAAAACGUCAUAGUAUAGCAUGUCGCUCUAAAAACUUCAUAGUAAAGCAUGUCGCUCUAAAAACGUCAUAAUAUAGCAUGUCGCUCGAAGAACGUCAUCAUAUAGCAUGUCGCUCUAAAAACGUCAUAGUAUAGCACGUCGUCCAAAAAACAUCAUAGUAUAGCAUGUCGCCCUAAAAACGUUAUAGUAUAGCAUGUCGUUCUAAAAAUGUCAUAGUAUAGCAUGUCGCUCUAAAAACGUCAUAGUAUAGCAUGUCGCUCUAAAAACGUCAUUGGAUAGCAUGUCGCCCAAAAAACGUCCUAGUAUAGCAUGUCGUGCAAAAAACGUCAUCGUAUAGCAUGUCGCUCUUCAAACGUCAUAGUAUAGCAUGUCACUCUAAAAAUGUCAUAGUAUAGCAUGUGGCUCAAAAAACGUCAUAGUUUAGCUUGUCGUCCAAAAAACGUCAUAGUAUAGCAUGUCGCUCUAAAAACGUUAUAGUAUAGCCUUUGGUCCAAAGAACGUCAUAGUAUAGCAUGUCACUCUAAAAACAUCAGUGUAGCAUGUCGCUCUAAAAACGUCAUAGUUUACCCUUUGGUCCACAAAACGUUGUUUUGUCCCGGCUGUCUGAAGUAGGUGAGGAGCAACACCAAAAGCAUCCAAACGCUGGUUUCCAGAGGGUUAGACGAGUAUUUAUUUGAAAGAGGACGUUUACAACAACACAUGUGAGGGGGUUAAAUGCAAAUGGGUGGUAGUAAAAUAAAAAUAAAUAAACAGAACUAAAAGUGAACUUCAUGUUGACAUUGAUGGGCAUUCCAACCUGGAACAAAGUAAAAGAUAAUCAAUACGAAAAUAAAACUCUUCCUGUUCACCUCUUCAAACCCAAAAACACACCGCAGUAGCACCCUGAACUAAAACUACCAAUGGGUUCCCUGUUUUCCUUUCUGAACAAUUCAAAGGUCCCUCUCUAUCUCCCCACACAUCCACCAACCACUGGAACACAUCUCCAAAGUUCUGCCGGGCCAGCUCAGCUUCCCUUCAGAAGAAGUUCCACCAGAUGAAGGAGCCUUUUGAGAGGCAGCUGGCAUCGUGAUUGGACUGUACUUUGUUCUGUUCCAAUCCAGCUUCAGCUCCAGAGACGGCAGGCGGGACGAGUCAACGGAGGCCGGGUGGACGAAGACCAAAGAACUACAGACUCUUCACAACCUGCUCAAACUCUUGGUACAGGACCUCACCACACAGGUCAAGAAGGUUUCUGUCUCAUUUCUACUCUGAAGCUCACCUUCUCCUGCUCAAACUGCUGACAAAUGUUUCUGCUGCUCUAAAGUCU
ensembl:lncRNA